CGUGUAGGCGGUCUUUUAAGUCAGACGUGAAAUCCAUGGGCUUAACCCAUGACCUGCGUUUGAUACUGGAGGACUUGAGGACCGGAGAGGGCAGUGGAAUUCCCAGUGUAGCGGUGAAAUGCGUAGAUAUUGGGAGGAACACCAGUGGCGAAGGCGACUGCCUGGACGGCCCCUGACGCUGAGGCGCGAAAGCUAGGGGAGCAAACGGGAUUAGAUACCCCGGUAGUCCUAGCCGUAAACGAUGGGUACUAGGUGUGGGAGGUAUCGACCCCUUCCGUGCCGCAGUUAACACAAUAAGUACCCGCCUGGGAGUACGGCCGCAAGGUUGAA
rnacentral:rRNA from 1 species